GUCAAUGUGGUGUAGUGGUUUGAGUGUUGGACUAUGACUCUGGAGACCAGGGUUCGCUUCCCAGCUCAGCCA